GCAAGGGGGUCAUCCCGACUUACCAACCCGAUGCAAACUGCGAAUACCGGAGAAUGUUAUCACGGGAGACACACGGCGGGUGCUAACGUCCGUCGUGAAGAGGGAAACAACCCAGACCGCCAGCUAAGGUCCCAAAGUCAUGGUUAAGUGGGAAACGAUGUGGGAAGGCCCAGACAGCCAGGAUGUUGGCUUAGAAGCAGCCAUCAUUUAAAGAAAGCGUAAUAGCUCACUGGUCGAGUCGGCCUGCGCGGAAGAUGUAACGGGGCUAAACCAUGCACCGAAGCUGCGGCAGCGACACUAUGUGUUGUUGGGUAGGGGAGCG
rnacentral:rRNA from 1 species